rnacentral:rRNA from 1 species
AUUGAACGCUGGCGGCAUGCUUUACACAUGCAAGUCGAACGGCAGCGGGGACUUCGGUCCGCCGGCGAGUGGCGAACGGGUGAGUAAUGCAUCGGAACGUGCCUAUCAGUGGGGGAUAACGCUUCGAAAGGAGUGCUAAUACCGCAUAUUCUCCGAGGAGGAAAGCAGGGGACCUUCGGGCCUUGCGCUGAUAGAGCGGCCGAUGUCGGAUUAGCUAGUUGGUGAGGUAAAGGCUCACCAAGGCGACGAUCCGUAGCGGGUCUGAGAGGAUGAUCCGCCACACUGGGACUGAGACACGGCCCAGACUCCUACGGGAGGCAGCAGUGGGGAAUUUUGGACAAUGGGCGAAAGCCUGAUCCAGCCAUGCCGCGUGAGUGAAGAAGGCCUUCGGGUUGUAAAGCUCUUUUGUCCGGGAGGAAAUCCUGGCCUCUAAUACAGGUCGGGGAUGACAGUACUGGAAGAAUAAGCACCGGCUAACUACGUGCCAGCAGCCGCCGUAAAAC